rnacentral:snRNA from 1 species
GGCUAUCUGGGCAUUUUGGCAGUGACAUCUGUUACGGGGCUAGUUUGGCUGAUCUGGCUAGGCACCUGUCCCCUUCCUCAGCACUCCACAUGUCUACCUCUCUCUAUCUUGGAGCUGAGGCCUGUCAGAGAGGAAGAUCUUCGAGGAGAGAGGACGACCUGUCUUCCGUCAAGGUUACACAAGUAGCUGCUCUCACCCCUUCUGGCUGGAACUUGCAAACAAGCUCUUAAGAUUAGAAAAGUAGAAGUAGUUAUUAAUAGAAUUUGUCCAAUGUGCUUCCUUUAUUGUGUGCCAGUGGCAGACAUAGGAGACGGA